AUUGAACGCUGGCGGAAGGCCUAACACAUGCAAGUCGAACGAGUGGCGGACGGGUGGGUAAUGUCUGGGAAACUGCCUGAUGGAGGGGGAUAACUAAUGGAAACGGUAGCUAAUACCGCAUACCAUCAGAUGUGCCCAGAUGGGAUUAACUGGUUGUUGGGGUACCGGAUCACCAAGGCGACGAUCCCUAGCUGGUCCGAGAGGAUGACCAGCCACACUGAAAGUGAGACCCGGUCCAGAGUCCUACGGGAGCCACCCUUGGGGAAUAUUGAGCAAGCAGCGGGGACUUGAUGCAGACGUGCCGCGUGUAUGAUGAAGGCCUUCGGGGUGUAAAGUACUUUCUGCGGGGAGGCGUUACCCGCAGAAGAAGCAACGGCUAACUCCGUGCCAGCAGCCGCGGUAAUAC
rnacentral:rRNA from 1 species